rnacentral:rRNA from 1 species
GAUGAACGCUGGCGGCGUGCUUAACACAUGCAAGUCGAACGGAAAGGCCUCUGCUUGCAGGGGUACUCGAGUGGCGAACGGGUGAGUAACACGUGGGUGAUCUGCCCUGCACUUCGGGAUAAGCCUGGGAAACUGGGUCUAAUACCGGAUAGGACAAUGGUUUGGAUGCUGUUGUGGAAAGUUUUUCGGUGUGGGAUGAGCUCGCGGCCUAUCAGCUUGUUGGUGGGGUAAUGGCCUACCAAGGCGUCGACGGGUAGCCGGCCUGAGAGGGUGUACGGCCACAUUGGGACUGAGAGACGGGCCAGACUCCUACGGGAGGCAGCAGUGGGGAAUAUUGCACAAUGGGCGCAAGCCUGAUGCAGCGACGCCGCGUGGGGGAUGACGGCCUUCGGGUUGUAAACUCCUUUCGCUAGGGACGAAGCGUUUUUGUGACGGUACCUGGAGAAGAAGCACCGGCUAACUACGUG